rfam:Schistosoma mansoni, Puerto Rico, WGS project CABG01000000 data, contig: 0105
AGCCUUCUGUAUACGUGCUGAGAUUUCGUCACACACCAGACCACAAGGGCUGAUGAGACUCCCAAGUUAGAUAAAUAGGAUA